GGGAAGGUGGCUCAGUGGUAGAGCGCUUGCCUUGCAUGUCUGAGGUCCUGGGUUCGAUUCCUCAGCCCCA
rnacentral:tRNA from 1 species